CUGUUAAAUAAUAAAUAUAUAUUCAAAAGGAUUAGAUAGUUAUUCUACAUAAUAAAUAGAGAACUGAAGCAUAAACCGAAUAUGAUGAAACUACUAUAAAUUCAAUGUUCUAUAAGAAGGUCCUUAUAUAAGAACAAACAAAACAGUUUUAGGUUAAAUAUUUGCAUCAAAUUCUUGCAUUCAUUAUUUCAACUAUAUAUAUAUAUAUAAUUUAAUUGACUUUGCAUAAAUUUUAAUAUAGAUAUUUAAUUUAAUAACUGUUUGUAUUUGUUUUAUAUAAUAUCAAACUUAUAUUAGCUAGAGCCAACCAAAUAAGUUGAAUGUCCACAGUGCUCAAGGCACUUUGAAGUGCCUGAAUUUUGGAGCUUCAUGCCAUUGGAGGAUAAUCAAUGGUUUUAGAAAAUAUUGCAACUCCAAUAAAAAGAUUAACUUAAUGGGGAAUGCUUCUGCCCCAACAGUUUAUUCUGGGAAUUAAAUUAUCGUCCAUUUUCUCCAUUUGUUCAUACCAAAAAAAUGAAAUUGCAAUUAGAAU
rnacentral:misc_RNA from 1 species